UAAAACCCACACCAAGGAGGAGGCUGACGUGUGCCGCGAGGAUGGGCUGGCGGUCGUACAAGCCCGAGCGCUGCCGCUCGCUUCUUGGUCUGCUCAUCUGCCACCCAACUGGAGUUUAUUUGUUAACACUUCUUCCCAAAGCUGGCUCCCAGCAGAGCUGCUGCUGAGCUGGCUUUUCAUCUCUGCGCCGCACUGGAGAGCAGGACCAGGCUGGAGCACGAACAAGCGGAGAGCCCACAGCUCCGGGAUCCGGCCCCUCAUACUUCUGAGACGAUGCUAGGAAAACAAGGAGCGAACAAUGCUGGGGUAUGGCACCGCAGGGGAAGCGCCUCCUAUCCAAGAUGCUGCUUUUGUUGGACCAAGCCCGUACGUUCAGUAGAUGCUGCUUCAGCGUAAAGAUGCUCUUGUGGGACCAGCAAGCAGUAAGCUGAUCAGGGACAUCUCUGUGAAGAUAUAGCAUCAGACACCGCCAUGAAUUCUUCUGCUUCAGUGCUUCAAAAAGCAAGACAGGUGUUUGGAAAUGCUCCUGUGUGAACCAGACCUCCACUCCCAUAAUAUCUGCCUGAAAUUCAUAGGAGUUGAAACAUGUGGCAAGCUCUGCUUCCUUCACAAUGCCAGUCUGAUCCUUGCUGUAACCAACAGGCUGUACCCUCUCCCCUCCACUCCGGACUUUUCGGGCCCUUUCCAAGGCUGGGAGCAGCCUGACUCCCUCCUUGCCAAACAGCCGCACCCACAGCAAUCAUAUCCUGGAAUAGCAACAGCUUCUGCAGGGAAGAUAUGCCUGAAAAAGACUAAUAAACUCAGGGAGCACAAAUGGUAAUGAAAGCUAAUGAGACCUACGAUUUUUAAUUGUGUAGGAUUUUGUUUUAGAAUCUUGCUUUUUAUAAUGACUGUUGGUUUCACACAAUCUGCAAGACACCCUGAGGCCAGCAUCCCUGAGGGUGUACCUGCUGUCUGGUGGUCACUCUGUGCCCUUGUGGUUCCACCCAAUGAGCUCAACAACAUCCCAAUAUACCCAGCCUGUUGUGUGUUAUUUAAGCCAUAGGAUAUGACAGAGUAUGUUUUAUGGAGCCAUUAAUUUAUGCUGUGGGUGACUUUAACCACCCAAGAAGUAUAUUAAUGGCCCUAUAAAAUACACCCCAGAGUGUCUUAAUAUGGUUAUGAGAUUGAUCUUCAGCUUUAUAUUCCAUUGUGUGUGAUAUUGUUGGAAUAAAUUGUAGAGGAAGGUGACACAGGGGAUCCCAGUAAGGGAUGAGUUGCCUUUUUUCUUCUUAGGAUCCCAUGGUCACAGAUUUACUCCGGGGAGAGAGCCAUGGGAUGUGAUCCCACCACUCUGCUGUGGGAGGCUGGAGAUGUCCAUCCUUUGGGGAUGGAGCUUACUGGCCCAACUCUGCAAAUGAAUUUAGGCAGUAUCCGUCCGUGCUGGCUGCUCCGUGGCUUUAACCAGAACUCGUGUCCUGACACUUGGGAGGUUUUCUACAAAUAAAGUGGACAAUCGGUAUCUGCAGUAGGGUCAUCAGUUGAAAUGUUUGCCAGAGCCAGGACUCAAAGCAGCAACAUCCCAGCUCCUCCUCACUACUAGAGAGCAGCGCCAGCUUCUCCAGAAAUACUGGACGCCACACAACAUAUUCGUCUCUGAUAAAAGUGAGGUGGGAUUACUAAGAACAACAAUUCCUGUUUUGGGAAAUACAGGAGUACGUGGUUUUCCUACUAACAGAUACUGGUGGGAUGAGUGUACCAACAGGAAACCUCAACAUCUGAAAGGCUGGACCUUGUU